rnacentral:tRNA from 1 species
GCGCCCGUAGCUCAGCUGGAUAGAGCAUCCGCCUUCUAAGCGGAUAGUCGCAGGUUCGAGUCCUGCCGGGUGCGCCA